UGCCUUCCAAGCAGAAAGAUACCUGCGAGCGGAAGUUCUCAACGGAGCUGACUGCGCACACACUACCCAAGCUCUGAUUAGUUGAGAAGGUAUAAUCAAAAGAUUUUAAGCUUUCCAACCUGGGUGACUGCAAAAGGGCCGAAAGGAUAUCUGCACCUCCUUAAAUGAAAACAUGAAAUCCUAGAAGCGCUGGGACUCGAACCCAUGGCUUUACGCUGCCAGGCAAGUACUCCACCACUGAACUACGCCCUCAGGCCUUCUGGUUUUAUAAACCUCA